AUAAGACAUUAGGCAUGUGCCUUGAUAAGUAAAGGCACAAUGAGUGAUAGUCCCUACUCCAAGCAGUUUUCUCUCUUAAGACAGGGUGAACUUGCUGGGAGAAUUUAUGGAGAAAUGUGGCCCAGACACACAUUAGGAUCACGCAGGAUUGGAUACAGUCUCCAAGUUUUGCCAGAGUUACCUGGCCCUGCCUUGCCCCCCAGUACCACCCCAUCUUGUGAUAUUGCUUGUAUCUCAGCACCCUAUAGGCAAGAGAGCAGGGUGGGAUCAAGCAGAGGAACAAGGGAUCUGAGUGCUGUGAGAGCAUGACCACCCAAGGGAGAUGCCAGGUGAGUGCAGCUUUCAACAUCCUCAAAGGCAUCUAAUUGUUCAGGACAUACUGAGUAUCUGCACUUACAGAAAUCAAGCCUCAAGUGGAACUCCCCUGAAAGCAAGGCACCGGGAAGCCAAGAUUAGUUUUCAGAAAUUACCAUCACAGAUGGCUUCCUGCAAUACAAAGAAGGCUCCUGGCAAGGCAGUUUGCUGGAUAACAUUCGAAUUGGAUGUGAUGGAAUUUCAAGGUGAGAUCAGUAUCUGGAACCAUGAUGCAAUUUAUGCUGUUAUCAUUUCAUGA
rnacentral:lncRNA from 1 species